ensembl:misc_RNA Metazoa_SRP Metazoan signal recognition particle RNA
GCCGGGUACAGUGGCACUCGCCGGUAGUCCCAGCUUCAGGAGGCUGAGACAGGAGGUUAGCUUGAGUCCAGGAGUUCUGGGCUGUAGUGCUCUAUGGCAAUCAGGUGCCUGCACUAAGUUCAGCAUCAAUAUGGUGACCUCCCAGGAAUGGGGAACCACCAGGUUGCCUAAGGAAAGAUGAACCGGCCCAGGUCGGAAACGAAGCAGGUCAAAACUCCCAUGCUGAUCAGUAAAAAUAACAAGUUAAAAGGAAAAAGAUAAAAGUCAAACAAGAAAGUGUGCAAU